rnacentral:rRNA from 1 species
ACUGUGAUCAAUAGCUGAUUUGAGAGGAUGAUCAGCCACAUUGGGACUGAGACACGGCCCAAACUCCUACGGGAGGCAGCAGUGGGGAAUCUUGCACAAUGGAGGAAACUCUGAUGCAGCGAUGCCGCGUGAGUGAAGAAGGCCCUUGGGUUGUAAAGCUCUUUCGUCGGGGAAGAAAAUGACUGUACCCGAAUAAGAAGGUCCGGCUAACUUCGUGCCAGCAGCCGCGGUAAUACGAAGGGACCUAGCGUAGUUCGGAAUUACUGGGCUUAAAGAGUUCGUAGGUGGUUGAAAAAGUUGGUGGUGAAAUCCCAGAGCUUAACUCUGGAACUGCCAUCAAAACUUUUCAGCUAGAGUUUGAUAGAGGAAAGCAGAAUUUCUAGUGUAGAGGUGAAAUUCGUAGAUAUUAGAAAGAAUACCAAUUGCGAAGGCAGCUUUCUGGAUCAUUACUGACACUGAGGAACGAAAGCAUGGGUAGCGAAGAGGAUUAGAUACCCUCGUAGUCCAUGCCGUAAACGAUGUGUGUUAGACGUUGGAAAUUUAUUUUCAGUGUCGCAGCGAAAGCGAUAAACACACCGCCUGGGGAGUACGACCGCAAGGUUAAAACUCAAAUGAAUUGACGGGGACCCGCACAAGUAGUGGAGCAUGUGGUUUAAUUCGAAGAUACGCGCAGAACCUUACCAACACUUGACAUGUUCGUCGCGACUUUAAGAGAUUAAAGUUUUCGGUUCGGCCGGACGAAACACAGGUGCUGCAUGGCUGUCGUCAGCUCGUGUCGUGAGAUGUUGGGUUAAGUCCCGCAACGAGCGCAACCCUCACUUUUAGUUGCCAUCAUUAAGUUGGGCACUCUGAAAGAACUGCCAGUGAUAAGC